CAUUCGCGAAACUGCUCAGUGGUAGUUAUAUACUUCCCAGUGCCCAUAGUGUUAUUAUCUUGUUUAACGUUUUUCUCUCAUCCCUUGCCUUUUUCCUUAGGGUUUGUUUUUAGUUUUUGUGGUGUUUUUUGUCAAAGGGUGCAAUCUUUAAUUUCUUCCUGAAGGUUUCUAAGAACAGAGGUCUAGAAUAAGGACGAUAAGAAAAAUAAAAAUAAAAAAAUUAUCUUCUUCGUAUUCUCUGCAUCCUUGUUUGUAAAUCCUUAUGUGGUGAGCCUCGGGUUUAUCAUUGACGAAACUGCCAGUCCCCGUAGUGUUAUUUAUUUAAUCUGUUAUGAAGUUUGCGUUUGGUAUUUAAGAAGGUAGAGUUAAGGAUAUUAAAAAUGGACACAAAGGUGAUUUCUUCCGGAGUCAAGCACUCAAAUCUGCCGGAAAGUUACAUCCGACCGGAAUCAGAGAGACCUCGUCUGAGCGAAGUGUCGGAGUGCGAGGAUGUUCCAAUAAUCGAUUUGGGUUGUGAAAAGAGAGGUGAGAUUGUGCAGGAAAUCGGCGAAGCGUGCAGAACGUUUGGGUUUUUCCAGGUGAUUAAUCACGGGGUGGGUGUAGAAGCAGUGAGGGAAAUGACAGAGGUGGCUCAUGGAUUCUUCAAGUUGCCUGUGGAGGAGAAACUGAAGUUGUACUCAGAAGACCCUUCAAAGACAACAAGACUCUCCACUAGUUUCAAUGUCAGGAAAGAGACUGUCCAUAAUUGGAGGGAUUAUCUCAGACUUCAUUGCUACCCAUUGGACAAAUAUGUGCCUGAAUGGCCUUCUAGUCCUCCCUCUUUCAAGGAGAGCGUGAAAAAGUACUGCGAAGAGGUUCGGGAAUUAGGGUUGAGAAUACAGGAAUACAUAGGAGAGAGUUUGGGGCUGGAGAAAGAUUACAUAAAGAAUGUUUUGGGUGAACAGGGGCAACACAUGGCGGUCAACUACUAUCCACCUUGCCCCCAACCAGAACUCACUUAUGGGUUACCGGGUCACACCGACCCGAAUGCACUCACAAUUCUGCUCCAAGAUCUCCACGUUGCCGGUCUUCAAGUUCUCAAGGACGGAAAAUGGCUCGCCGUUAACCCCCACCCCAAUGCCUUCGUCAUUAACAUCGGUGAUCAACUCCAGGCUUUGAGUAAUGGGCUUUAUAAGAGUGUAUGGCACCGUGCUGUUGUGAAUGUUGAUAAGCCCAGGCUUUCUGUGGCUUCAUUUCUUUGUCCGAACGUUGAGGCAUUGAUUAGCCCUGCAAAACCACUCACGGAAGAUGGAUCUGAAGCCGUAUACAGAGGAUAUACGUAUGCUGAAUAUUAUAACAAGUUUUGGAGCAGGAACUUGGACCAAGAACACUGUUUGGAACUUUUCAAAAACAAACGCUCAUGAUUUCUGGUGUGUCGAUAUGGCUGCGUGACUGAACUGCUUAUUCUUUUGAUUCACGUGGAGGAACGUCUUUCCCUAACAGCCAUCGUGCUCUAUUUGAUUUAUGGAAAGCAAUCCAAAUGCAACUUGAUGGGACUCCAUACCGAAACACUUAAACCUUCUUGAGAAACUCGAUGAUGUAGGUAUUGAAAGCAGAGCACAGAACUCGGAAACCUUGGAAUCCAGAUCCUUUGGCCAGAGCCUCAAACUCUUUCUCUGUUCUCUCUUUCCCACCUGGAUUAUGAGCCAACAUUAUCACGUCGAUGUGAACCACACCCUUUGUGGCCAAGCUAGAGUCUGGAGCCACCGGAAGAAUGCAUUCUGCCACAAUCACCUUCCCGUUUUCUGGUAAUGCAUCGUAGCAGUUCUUCAAAAACUUCAAACAGUGUUCAUCACUCCAAUCGUGGCAAAUCCACUGGAGGUAUCAAUGAUAUUAAAAUCAUUAGCAUAAACAAGUAGAACACGAUUAUCAGACAGUAACAACUCAUUGACUCUCAGAAAAGAAACCCUUUAAAGUAGGCAAGAAUUAGGACAUUGAAAAGGAUUCAAGUUUUAUCAUUCACCUUCAUAAAAAUAGCUUCAGCUUUUGGAACACUGACAAACAUGUCUCCACCCACAUGCUCCACUCCUACACAAAAACAGCAAUGUCAAAUUUGAUGUCAGGAAACCAUUACUAAAACAUUAUAAUUCAAUACACAAUGCAUACAAUUAACGGGUAAUAACCGGUAACAGUGCUUGGAAAACUAAUAUAAAUACGAAGACAACGUUCUCAACCUAAAAAUAGGUACCUGGAUAAGAUGGGGCAUCUUCGAUGACAUGGGGUAAAUCAAAAUUGAUACCCUUGAUAUUGGGAUACUUUGAGACUAUCAUGUUUAUUAUAGCUCCAGUUCCACCACCAACAUCAACCAGAGAUUUAAUACCCUCAAAGCCUGUGUAGGUCUCGAGAAUUUUCUUCAUUGUGAUGGUAGAGUGAUCCGCCAUACCCUUGUUGAAAACCUUGUUAAACCUUGGGUCCGUUCCAUGGUAUUCAAAGGCUGUCAUUCCAUAUGCCUUGUUAAAUGGAAUCCCCCCUUCAAGAACUGCAUCUUUCAAGUAGUACCUACAAUAACAAAAGCAUCUCAACUUUAACUCAAUCGUUAAACGGAAACAGUUUUAAUCGAACUGUUUCUACAAAAGAUACCAGCUUUCCAUGAGGAUUUUAUCCUGGUUCAUGAGGUUGAGAGCAGCCAAGGAGACGCCGUCUUCGUUCUUGACCAAGUACUUGGCAACGGGAGCAAGGCCAUAGAGCCUCUCAACCUUGCCAUCAGGAAGAGUGUGGAGGGUGAAAGUGAGGAUGUUGUAGGAAGCCAAUAGACGCAAGAUGCGGUCCAACAUGACUGGUGCCUCAGGGUUGUGUGUUGGGAGCUGAGAAGCAAUGUGAGAGGGAGAAAGAUGAACUCCAGGGCCAGCCUUGGCUAUGAUUUCCAACAGAUCAAGCUCGAUGGCUGAUUUCAGAACCAUUGGGAGGACAGAGGCACUCGCCAGUUGCAUCGCAAACAGGUUUGCCUCUUCAUCAGACACAUGGCUUGGAGUGAUCUGAGUCUCACCCGUUGAACCCAUGCUUGAUACUUUCAAUUUUCCUCAGAUUCUAGAUUCAAUAUUCGAGCAAGUGUUUUUGCUGUGAGCUUGUGAUCUCCAAGGUCCCGUCGUGAAGUGGUUAUAUAUUCACAAAGAUAUUCACAAAUG